UGAACGCUGGCUACAGGCUUAACACAUGCGAGUCGAGGGGAAACGACGGGGAAGCUUGCUUCCCCGGGCGUCGACCGGCGCACGGGUGAGUAACGCGUAUCCAACCUGCCUCUGACUGAGGGAUAACCCGUCGAAAGUCGGCCUAAUACCUCAUGGCAUCGUCUGCGGGCAUCCAACGACGAUUAAAGAUUUCAUCGGUCAGGGAUGGGGAUGCGUCUGAUUAGCUUGUUGGCGGGGUAACGGCCCACCAAGGCUACGAUCAGUAGGGGUUCUGAGAGGAAGGUCCCCCACAUUGGAACUGAGACACGGUCCAAACUCCUACGGGAGGCAGCAGUGAGGAAUAUUGGUCAAUGGGCGGGAGCCUGAACCAGCCAAGUAGCGUGCAGGAGGACGGCCCUAUGGGUUGUAAACUGCUUUUAUGCGGGGAUAAAGUGAGGGACGUGUCCUUCAUUGCAGGUACCGCAUGAAUAAGGACCGGCUAAUUCCGUG
rnacentral:rRNA from 1 species